GAUCCCCAUUAGAAUUCCAGAAAUCAAACCUAUCUGUUUUGGUGCUCAAACGAAGCAGAAGAAUCGAAUGAACGAAGACGGAAGAGAGAAGUAGAAAAUACUCUCCCCCCUCAAAGAUCAAAACCACAUUGCCACACUAAGAACUU